AUAAUAGUGACAUAUUACAAAAUGUGCCCCCCAAACAGCAGGCUUUUUUCAGAGCACCAGGUGGUAAGGUACAUCUCAUAUUUGAUUAGAUCUCCAAGCCCCAUCUCACUGUAGUCUAAGUUUUGCUGUGUGAAGAACUAGAUGAGAUAAGACAAUACAAUUUGUGGGUGUUAAAUCUGUAACAACAGCCAGGCUACAUUUCACAAGAUUCGAGCUCUGCUUUCAACACCUUAGGAGACCGGCGCUAUUUCCCCUUUCUUCCCUUUCCUUCUGCCUCUUCCUCCCUGCACAGUCUUGGCUCUUGUUCCUAUUCAGUGUCACUCCCUGAGAAUUCAAUUCUUCCAAUUUUCUAACCAAAGCGACUCCUUUUCAUCUCCACCUAAGUUCUCCUCUUCCAUCACACCUGGAGAAAAGGACUUUAAAUCUAACGGAAACACGAACGGAUGAAUAUUAAUGUUAAACCUCUUUAAAUUCAAACCAAGAUGCCCCUUUCGGUGGAAUAAGAUAGUUAAUAAAAUAACCUUCUCUAACCCUAUUAUAAUCCUCCAGGCAUCUAAUAGAAUGAAUUUACCUUAAUGUGUUCAUAAAAGGUCUAGGAGUCCCAAAAACACUUUUUUCAACUUUAUCAGAAAGAGAAAAUGCCCGAUUGUUCGGCUUAGGCAUGACAGAUCACCUAUAUAUGUAUAAAGAUAAAUGUAGGUAAAUACACAUAUGCCUUUAAUCAGAAUUUAAAAAAAAAUAAACUUAGAGGUUAAAGAGAGAGAAAGUUCAUGGAAUGAGGGUAAGGGAUCCUCUGUCCGCCCUGCUUUCACGCCGUUCCUUUAGACCUAGCAUUGCUGGGAUACCAGUGCAGCGCCUUCUCCUACAGUGGAGACUGAACCCAUGCAAGUCACGAGGACACACACUACUCCACCACUGCUGCUUCAUCUUUCCGGUCUAGCGUCCCGUGCCCAGGAGUGAAAGGAAUUUCUGUAAGGUUCUGAGCGUCACGCGUCGCAUACACAAUCCCAAACCGAAACCCCCAACCUUCUAGCCAAAGGAGCACAAAUGGACUGCAUUUUCCAGACAUUUUUAGUGAUGUGUGGCUUCAACACUUAAAUCCAGUUUAAAGAAUAUGAAGUGAACUGCUGCUCUUCCUGGACUACACGAUAAACAUCCUCCAAUGUCCCAGGCCAUGCUCUUUCUAUCAGUUGGCUGAAAGGGAGGAAUUCAAGGCCUUCAAGUGGGUGAAGCUACAAUCUGGAAGGAUCCUGGAAGCACAGAUUACCCUGUGAAGCAGCGUCCCCAUGAAGGUCUGUUUCUUCUGUGAUGUGAGCAAGAAACAAAUGAAUUGUGCAAAUCCA